CUGCUUAUGUGUGUGUACAUAUUACAGAUAUGUACUAAGGGUGUGGGAAAUAAUCAAUAUCGGCUCAUUCAUUGGGUAUGGAUGUAAUUGACGGGUGGACUUCACAGAACUACAUUACGUAGAAAACUCGAAGUUUUUGUCGCCGCGAGUCCGCCGUCUUGUAUGGCACUACCUUGUUCGUUUGCGACUUUCGACGUUUUUACUCAUGGUUUCUGAAAUUCUUGACGCAAUAAGGCAUUCAAAUGCCCUACUGUGUGGCUGUAAACUACCUAUAUAUGCCUAUACACUGCGGACGCCGAGCUGCCAAGUUGUGCUACACAAGAUGGCGGCGUGCGCAAUGAAGCACUGCGCGGCGGCGACACCGCGCUGUGUGUUGUGUCCGGGUGUGAGCUUUCUACGUGGAAUCUACAUUCAAAUCGCUGCGUUUAACUUUGGAGGACACUUAAGCGCUGACUGCCACCUGACUCGUACAUAUCUGGCCCACUUCAUCAGGAGUAAGCAGCUGCGCCUAUUGCAUCGAUGACCGAGAGGAGGGACAGUGUUGCAAAAACACAACAGAGGGAGCUGAAGAUUUGUCCACUCCAUGAGAACAUGGUUGGAGAAGGUGGACAUCUUGUGCCAUGUUAUGAGAUCGAAACCCGAGCAGCGGGUGGUCUCUUCUGGGAGAGAAGUGGCUGACUCCCUGCUCACUUCUGUCAAUCACAACCCAGCAAAGAGCUGCUUUGGGCAGGUGCUGUCACAGUGGGGAAACAACCGAAAGCCAUCAGGUAACCCAAGGCCAAGGCUAAUUCACAGAUGUACAGUUUGACCGUGCUCUCGGAGAAAUGGACGUUCUGCUGGAGGUGAUAACGUAGGUCUCCUCCCAGGAGCAAGUCCACCACCAUGAACAUGUCCUCCUCAUCCUGGAAAGAAUACCUGCAAGUGGAACAUUGAACAUUGCCAUGUCAUCUGCUGGUAUCGAGACAGCUGAGCUCCUCCAAAUGAAAAAAGGUGCGGGGCCGUCGUCGUGUUCCGGCAAGAGGGUUUAAUGCUGUGUGUGAAAUGAUGGACACAUGAGUAAGAGAGCGUGUAAUGACUGCAAUCUGUACAUGACUGGAAUUGACACAUUGACAGCCCUGCACCCAUCAAACUGCUCAUCAAUUAGUAUUUGAUUGACACAUGCUAAUCUUGUUUGAAAAGUCUGAAUGAGUCUAUCUGCCUAUCGGCUGUUUUAGGAUGUGACAAAGUUUUUUUUUUCUUUGUGCUGGUGUAAUCCUCACUGUAGUAUUUCAUCAUGCACUCUAAAAAAAAAAGAUUGCAGUCAGAACAUCAUACAAAAAGUCAAAGUCACAUGACUUCAUAUGUUUUUAAUGACUUACUGCAAAAAUGCAAGUCAAAGAUCCUCUAUAUUGUAAGAGCUGCCUUCUGUUUGUAAGGAUAAAGUGAACAAAAGCAACUCAAAGAUUCUUUUAAUGACAGGAACAACAAUGCAGUGUCAUCUAUAUCAGACCUGAUGUCCUUGAAUGCACCUGGUGUCUGUGCUAUUCAUUUGCUAUGCCCCUAUGAGGUGCAUGCCAUGUUCAUUGUUGACCUGGUCAAGCUUGAGCAGGAAGGCAUCCAGUGUCGGACACACAGCUAUAUGGCUAACCAUCUACUGGAUAAGAGCGAGGCUUAAAGCCAAAGCUCACAUUGCGCUGUUUGGGGAAAUUAAACAGUAUUACGGGACUGUUUAAUGCCCAAUUCGAUCUACUGGUCCCGACAGGGGAGUGGUCUACAGAAGCGGUCCUCCUUCUUUUUAUUAAACUUAUCUACUGAGUGUUGAAUCAAAGCAAUUGGACUCACUUGAUUUUUAACUUCUUGUUUCCAUUCUCAUCCGGGUCCAUGUGAAAAUGCUCAGAUUCAACAACUGCCCAUAUAAACCUGUUCUGAAAUGCUCCGAUCAUGGAUUUAUGCUGCCAAUUCCGAUUGUCCGAUACUGAUAUCGAUCACAUGGAUUAACUGUACAUUUUUCAAUUCAUUGAUUAUACAAUUACAAUUUUUGACCAGAUUUUGCCUGUUCAGUAAUGAUUUUUUUGCUCAAGAUAAAUGUUUAAAGGUAAUUAAAUGUAUUUCACUCUCACAUUGUUGCUCUGAUAACCCCGAUAACAAAGAACCCAUGGGUCCAUGUGGCGAACUAAGGCGAAUAAAACAAUCAGCAGUAAACAGCCGCUUUAAGCACAGUCGCCUGGUUACACAAGGUGGAAAACCUUUGGAGCACAUAAGGGACGCCUUUGAUACACAAAUGACUCUCAUGGGAGAUCAACAUGUCCUGACAUGGUUCACUGUCACACACUGUGGCUUCACCGUAAACUGUCCAACACCCAUUCUGUAUUGACGCAAAAUCAUCCGAAAUAGACUCUACUAUUACAUGAUUUGAUAUGCAGUGUUUAAUCGGACAAAUUUUAAAUAACUUUGAUCAAACAUAGAAGUACUACAAGUUCUGCUUGGGAAUUUAACACAGUGGCAGCAAUACUACAUUGCAUUUAUAUAGAUCUUUUCUUCUGGCAUAUACGGCAAGACAAUGACAAUCCACUUUAAAAGCCUUCUGUUCACCUUUAUAGUUUUUUUUAAUACUUGAUGCUCUUCACUUUGCUACAGAACUACAGUGUGGUUCUCAGCUUUUCUCCAGGCGGCCUUGGUUGUGGUGAGGACCUCUACUGUGACGCAUGGUGGUAUCAGGUGUGACAGUGAAGGUAAUUACAGCCUAAUGAUUUUUUUCUAAAGGGAAAAUAUCAGGCAUCUAUUUGCAGUAUGAUGUUUAUUUAUUUAAAUGGGCACCCUGCGAUUAAUUGGGGACACUAGCGUCUACUAGAGCUGAGGCCGCUAUUUGAGUUAAUACUUUAAAGCAAUAAAUCAGUCAACACAAAAGAUGAGGAGCUGUUUCCCUGGCAACAUUAUGGCAUAUACAUUUUUUAGCUAUUCACUUUACUGUCUUCUUACAUUCCUGCCUGUCCUCAGAGCCACGUACUGCCGAGGCAGUGAAGGAACACAAAAGCCACACACCGCAGUGUCAAACAAUAAAAACUAAAGUGAAGAAAUUCCCUUCUGCUUACGUCGACCUCAUAACAACAAGCCUGCCUGUUUCUGACGUGAGCGAAGGGGAUUACUUCCUUUCCAGCGUGAGGGGCUUUUCAUCUAAUUCAAAACGAUGUGUCUGCUUUUAGAGCGCCCUCGGUGAAAGCGCCACUCGCUGCGACAAGUCGGAGGAGGUAUAUUAACUCAAGGGUAGAAGGUAAAGACUUUUGUAUGAGUGACAUUUUUACCGAGCGGUAUGCAGGAUGACUAAGCAGCGGUGAGGUUCGCCGAUGAUUAAUGAAUUCCUUUUGGAUAGAGGUUGCCUCCAGUUAAAAAGGAGAUGGUUUCAUUAGUGGGUGCAGUAAUUUGAUGAUGGCAGGGGGUGGUGUGUGUUUGUUUGGGGGGGUGUUUGACUUUAAAUAAUGUGUCAGCAUACUGUAUCAGCACUCAAACCAAAAAUAAUACGAAUGGCAAACUGGGAAUGACUCAAAACCCUGAAAAAUGGCACCUGCAAAUCUUGUCAUAAUCAACAUGAUGACGUGUAAAUUGUGAAAAAGUGGUUAGCGCGCAGGCCACACAGCUAGGAGACCUGAGUUUGAUUCCACCCUCGGCCAUCUCUGUGUGGAGUUUUCAUGUUCUCCCCGUGCAUGCGUGGGUUUUUUCCGGGUACUCCCACAUUCCAAAAACAUGCUAGGUUAAUUGGCGACUCCAAAUUGUCCAUAGGUAUGAAUGUGAGUGUGAAUGGUUGUUUGUCUAUAUGUGCCCUGUGAUUGGCUGGCGAUCUAGGCAGUCUAGGGUGUACGCCGCCUCUCGCCCAAAGACAGCUGGGAUAGGCUCCAGCACGCCUGUGACACUCGUGAGAAUAAGCGAUAGAAAAUGAAUGAAUAUUUUGUACUUUAAGGCGCUACUGAGCUGGUUUUGGUUGUGGCUUGCAACUGAACGGACCCCUCUGAAACGUAUAAUUUCGCCAGAAUGUAUGCUUUUGUCAGUUUUUAAUGGAUUGUGAAUGAUGAGUGUUGUUUGUGUGACUUACAACUUGAUUUGAUUUGCUUUCAAGCAAUAAGAGAAAAGAAUGCAGUUUUGCUUUUGUCGACAUCAGCGCCCUGAGAGAACAUACUAUAAGUGGAAUCUUCCCCAAAUCCUAAAAAUUAGAUUUUCUGAUUAUUCUGAUGUAUUGAUUUUGUGGAGUCCCUCAUCUGUGUCACACUUUGAAAACCUUUGGCUUGAAUCAUUAUAAUCAGUGUUCCAGGAAAUAUGAAUACAAGGAAAAAAAAACACCUAGUCCCGUCUCUUUCCUGUUUAUAUUGAUGUAUUAAUAAACCAUGCUGUGCAGUGCUGUUGCCAUAUGGUUUCAGUAAUGGUUUUUUCAGAGAAAAGAGAGCCAUCUUUAGAUCCAAUCAUCACAACAUCCUGAACAUGCUCACCUCCAAAGGUUCAAUCCCAUGUAAAAAAGGACUUUUACUGUGUUUUACUGUACAAGAAUGCUUCUUCUGUUGUGUUCUGUAUCUCUAUUUGCCUUCACUUUAGUAUUUCCUAUUUACCUUGCGGCAAUUACCAGUUGCGCCACAAAAGUAGACAGAUGAAGUUUUUAAAGUUGACACUCACCCUCAUCUGUGUCACCCGUGAUGGGAGACUUGCUGGACUGUCCAAGCCCCAUGACGGCUCCUCUGUCAGCCUCCGGUUCAGCUCCCGUCACUCAACUCAGCAUCCGAAGGAUCGCCCUCUGGGACGCACUCAUAGCCUGGUCAGCACUCCUCCUCCUCCUCCUCAAACCCACUCUCCAACAUGACCGCCCCACAUCUUUAUAGCGUUUGCACACGUUUCUAUCGGUUCCUCGCAGUUCCUCUAGAGUGACAUUAUUUUCUGUGCUGUCUUCACUGAUAUAGAGAGCCUGGAGGAGAAUGGCUGUAGUGGUGAUGACCCUCUGGUGACUGAGUAUCUAACCUGUGAGGGGAGGCAGAAAAACAUGACACCGUCAGUGGAAGGUAGACAAGGCGGGACCAAGAGUGAGGGAGGGAUGCAACAGCAAUCAAGCCUAAGGCAAGGAAAUCAGCUAUAUGUGUAUCAUAGAAAUUUCUCUUAAGGUCCAUUUUACAUGUAAGACAGAGCAGCUGUUAUUGUGAAGCUUGUCUUGCAAGUUUAACACGGCAAACAAGCUCCUCGUGUAUGUAACUUACCCAACACUCCACCAAUGUUUUUGUUAUUAAAAACAGUACUACUCAAGGUGCAGAUUACACUAAUAAUGUACUGCUUUGGGGUACAACCUUCCCAUUUCAGCAAGUAUUUUAUUACAAUAUAUCACUUCAAAGGGCAAUACAUUAGAAAAUAAAGUUGGAUACACUUCAG